ACGUCAAUACGAAGCUAUUGAGCAUGUCCUGUAUGCCUACCGUUUGCCAAUGCUGGGAAUUCCACAGAAAUCAGAGAAAAUGUCUACGUCAAACAGCACUCAAGGAGCUCAGGCAGGCAGAUCACAAGCGCUGCCCAUCUCCAAAAUUAGUAAAUGAAUGACCUGGACCACGGAGGAAAGGGCUUUUUCCUUAUUUAUUGAAGAAGUUGAAUGUUUAAUGAAGACAGACAGUUAUGCGGUCUUCCCCCACUCCUGAAAGCACUAGAACUGCCAAAGGAAAGCAGCAGAGGAGAGGAACCCAGGAGACACCUUCAGGGGUCGAUGUGAGCGUCAUUAACGGGUUAUCUAAUUAUAGUCCCUGUCGCCGCACUGAGAAGGACCAGAGUCCCUUCUGUGAUUCCUGGCUGCAAACAAACAGUCCGGCUAUGAGAACAGUGAUGCGUCAGGAAAUCCCAAAUGAGAGGCGGUCUACAUCCAAAUUGUUUUAAGACGAGGAGUCCAAAAAGGCUGAGGGAUGCUCCAAUUCCUUCCAAUUCUGAAUGUCACGUCGUAGUUGUGUGGAAGGUUCCAACUUGCUGAAAAUGUUAAAGUAACUGGGAGAUGACGGCAUACGUUACCAACCUCAGAGAGAAAUGCACCAAAGAACUUUUGGAGGUGUUCCGGCUGCUUCUUGCCGUUGGUGUCAACAGACUUAUGCCAAUCGGUGGAGCCUCAUGGUUUCUUCUGGAUCAAGCCAUGGCUGCUGAUUUGAGUGGACGGAACUGCUGACAACGAAGAAUGGAAUCACCCCCAAAGAACUACUUCUAAACAGGUCUACAUCCCCCUUGUCCUAUUAGCCAUCUUCGUCCCUUACUUCUGACACUUCAGUUGGAACAGCAGUCUCUUU